rnacentral:rRNA from 1 species
GCUUAAGCAUAUCAAUAAGCGGAGGAAAAGAAACUAACAAGGAUUCCCGUAGUAACUGCGAGUGAAGCGGGAAAAGCUCAAAUUUUAAAUCUGGUGGUCUUUGGCCCAUCCGAGUUGUAAUCUAGAGAAGUGUUACCCGCGUCGGACCGUGUAUAAGUCUCCUGGAAUGGAGCGUCAUAGAGGGUGAGAAUCCCGUCUUUGACAUGGACUACCGAGGCUUUGUGGUAUGCUCUCAAAGAGUCGAGUUGUUUGGGAAUGCAGCUCAAAAUGGGUGGUAAAUUCCAUCUAAAGCUAAAUAUUGGCGAGAGACCGAUAGCGAACAAGUACCGUGAGGGAAAGAUGAAAAGAACUUUGGAAAGAGAGUUAAACAGUACGUGAAAUUGCUGAAAGGGAAACGCUUGAAGUCAGUCGCGUUGGCCGGGAAUCAGCCUUGCUUUUGCUUGGUGUACUUUCUGGUUGACGGGCCAGCAUCAGUUUUGACCGGUGGAAAAAGUUCAGGGGAAUGUGGCAUCUUCGGGUGUGUUAUAGCCCUUGUUCGUAUACAUCGGUUGGGACUGAGGAACUCAGCACGCCGCAAGGCCGGGUCUUUGACCACGUUCGUGCUUAGGAUGCUGGCAUAAUGGCUUUAAUCGACCCGUCUUGAAACACGGACCAAGGAGUCUAACAUGCCUGCGAGUGUUUGGGUGGAAAACCCGAGCGCGUAAUGAAAGUGAAAGUUGAGAUCCCUGUCAUGGGGAGCAUCGACGCCCGGACCUGACGUUUUCUGACGGCCCUGCGGUAGAGCAUGUAUGUUGGGACCCGAAAGAUGGUGAACUAUGCCUGAAUAGGGUGAAGCCAGAGGAAACUCUGGUGGAGGCUCGUAGCGAUUCUGACGUGCAAAUCGAUCGUCAAAUUUGGGUAUAGGGGCGAAAGACUAAUCGAACCAUCUAGUAGCUGGUUCCUGCCGAGCUCCCUACUUGAGAAUAAA